UCACAUCAACAUUAAAAAUCACUUUUCUUGCGUCUCUCUCUCCAUUACUUUUAUCAUCUAUCCACUUUUAACCAAAAACAAAAAAAAAACAAAUCACCUAUGUCUUUCGCCGCAAACUUGGUCAUCAUAAAUUUUUACUGUGCUUCUGCAGUGUGUGUUGAAGAAUUGUUGGACAAUUCUCUUGGAUCAUAUACUGAGAAUGGUGGAGAUGACGAUGACAGUGGCUACGAUUAUGCUCCUGCUGCAUGAUUUGUCUUCUACAUGAAAUAUAAUUUAAGAGGACUGGGAGAUAAUCAGGCAAUUUAGAUAUAUGGCUACGUAGGUACUAUACAGUGUGGGGAGUCUUCUUUCUUUGGCAGAGAGUGUGGUGAGUCUUCCUAGCAGGACAAACAUGAUUUCCAUACCGUAGAAAAUCAUCUCUUCCUUAACCAUAGUCACUUUUUGUUUCUUCAUUUAAGAAGUUAAGUUAUUGUUCAUUUUGUUUCUCUAACGUUAACCUAUUGCUGAUUUAACUAAAUAAAUACUUUUUGGUACUUUCUAAACUUACUUUAUUCAUUCACGCAAUAUUCAAUUUUUCAAACCUGAAUUUAUAUUUUAAACCUAUUGGUUUACGAUCAAGUUGUGAGAACUUUCACAAUUUGAAAUUAGACUCAUGGCAGCCACAUGUAUUUGGAAAGAGCCAUAUUGGUUUAUUUGUGACAUGCAUUAUAUUGUACAAACAACAAUUUUGGCCCCGCUAAGCGUUGAAACUCUUCUUAGGCAUCACGUUUUAAAGUUCAAAAGCAUCAAAGAUAUCCUAAUUAACUGAGUUUUAGGGAAAAGAAGUAGAUUGUAAAACCCAAUCAUAACCAGAAUUAUGCUCAGUAAUACUUAAUUCAGUUAUAUAUAUUAUAUGAUAUCAAAGUUUACAUAGUGUUUGAGAUAGAUUGCAUCCCUCGAUAAGGUCUAUCAAGUAAAAAUGAACUCGGUUCAUUUAAAUAAAAAGCGGUCAAAGGGGCACACCGAUUUGAAGUAAAAGGGAAAGGAAUCGAUUAUAAAUAGGAAAGACCAAGCUUAAAGAAUCACCAACACACAUAACUCGCCACAAGAACUAUGGUUUAUUUAGUUUUACUUGUACUUGUCGAUUUCUUAAGCUUUUACGAGUUCUUAGUUCUUUCUAUUGUAAUCAACCUUUUGAUAUAUCCAUAAACAUCUUUCAAAUAACUCACCACCAAAUUUGUACCCAAUUCCGGUACGUGCCAAAUUCAGAUUAAACAAUUGGCACCGUGAUGCAAGCUCAAAUUAACCCUAGAGCCAAUUCUCACAAAUAAGAGAUCGGAUGUAGCACUUGGGGAUCGAAUCUAGAGAGGGCAGGGGCACACAAUAGAUCAGAUCAGACGUAAGAUUAAGCUAGGCAGAUAAAAUAUUAAAACAGUAAAUAAUGAAUAAAGCGGUAAAUAAGAUAGAUGAUUUUGUGAUCGCAGUUAAAAUAGAAGCUAGACUUUCAGGUCAGUUAAUCCAAUUAUGAUAUAGUUGCUAAGUGCAUUUGAUAAUCAAUCCUACAACUCGAAUAUUAAUGUAAGAUAUCCAGCUCUCGCUGCGAGGCUAUGUGUUCAAAUCUAUAUUCAUACUCUUGUAUGUGACACGGAACGGGUGUCAAUCGAUGCACCAAUAAGGUGUCGGUCGAUACUUCUUCCAGACAAGCUUUAAGCUUGGAUCGAUAAGUUCACAAAAUUGGCUAAACCAACUAGCUAUAGCAUGUGUCUAACAACCUAGCUCAGCAGAAUUACUAUCAUGUAUGAACCUACUCUCGCAGUUGUCAACUCCUAGAUGAUGAUAAGUCCUAACUCUGUGAAGGAUGUUAAUUGAUUACCUUAGCAGUUCUAAUAUCAAUAGUUCUUCAUAACCAUAUAAAUCCUAAGUCUAACAAGGUGACUACUCAGACAUACACUACAAGAAAACAGCGGC
rnacentral:lncRNA from 1 species